AUCUCAGUAGCAUAGUGGUUAGUGCACAGCCGCGGAUAAGUUGAGACGCGGGUUCGAAUCCCACCUGCGAUU
rnacentral:tRNA from 1 species